UAAGCGGUGCAGUGAGGGACAAUCUGAAGACAUGGGUCCAUGGACAGGGGCUACUGAAGAACCUUCAUCAAGAACAAGGAUGAGUGCUGACUCGGCUCUGUUUAAGUCCAAGAGCAAGAAAUCAAAGUGGCUCGACUAGUGAGUUGUGUCACGUCAGUUAGUGUGUAGAGUUGUAGUGAAGCUUUUCUUAUUCUAGUCACUCUAUAGAGAUUAUUAUAGAAUACAGUCAGGUUAAUGGACUCCAUAGCGGACCUAUGCCACCUCUAGAGUACAGCUAUACUGUUUCACUGUAGAUAAUCUAAGAUACUAUUAGUUCUACUAAAACUCGUUAUCAAAAGUUUCAGCCUAUAGUCUAGUUUUAUUUUAUUGCUCCCGUUACUUGCUGCUUAGCCAGAUCAUAUAUACUAUUGUAUAGCACUCCUCUGGUUUCUAUAGAUCUUUAUUAUUUAUGUCAACAGCCGAGGGUAGCACUUCAGUGCUCUAGUUCUAAUUGUAGAUUGACUGAUUGAUUUGUCUUUUGUACUAUUGUUUGAUUUUUCCACCCCUCAUCUUUUCCGGCCCCCAGUUAUGCGGCCAUUUUUCAGCCCGGCCAAGUGUUGAGGAGACAAGAAGAGGCACUGAGAAUGAAGGCCUACUAUGCUGCUAGGAAAGAGAGGGGCCUCACGUAAACUGCCACUCAGUGUGACUAUGACCAUGUGACUCUUUAACCCCUCAGUUCCCGAGCCCCACCCCUCACUGUCUGACUCGGAAGAGGAGAUAGACUUUGGAUUCUGGGAGAAGGCGUCCACCCUACCCUCGGACAAGACCCCAACCAAGGACCUGAACUUGUUAUGAGACUGUUACAUAUUAUUUUAUAGUAUUCUUAUGUACACACCACUUCGUGUCAUCAUAAUAAUUAUACAUUUUGAUGGACUUAGCUUUUUUCCGACAUGCAAGAUAAUAAAAUAUCAA